UGGGGAAUAUUGCACAAUGGGCGCAAGCCUGAUGCAGCCAUGCCGCGUGUGUGAAGAAGGCCUUCGGGUUGUAAAGCACUUUCAGCGAGGAGGAAGGUGGUGGACUUAAUACGUUCAUCAAUUGACGUUACUCGCAGAAGAAGCACCGGCUAACUCCGUGCCAGCAGCCGCGGUAAUACGGAGGGUGCAAGCGUUAAUCGGAAUUACUGGGCGUAAAGCGCACGCAGGCGGUUUGUUAAGUCAGAUGUGAAAUCCCCGGGCUCAACCUGGGAACUGCAUUUGAAACUGGCAAGCUAGAGUCUCGUAGAGGGGGGUAGAAUUCCAGGUGUAGCGGUGAAAUGCGUAGAGAUCUGGAGGAAUACCGGUGGCGAAGGCGGCCCCCUGGACGAAGACUGACGCUCAGGUGCGAAAAGCGUGGGGAGCAAAACAGGAUUAGAUACCCUGGUAGUCCACGCUGUAAAACGAUGUCGAUUUUGGAGGUUGUGCCCUUGAGGCGUGGCUUCCGGAGCUAACGCGUUAAAUCGACCGCCUGGGGAGUACGGCCGCAAGGUUAAAACUU
rnacentral:rRNA from 1 species